rnacentral:rRNA from 1 species
AGAGCGAACGCUGGCGGCAGGCUUAACACAUGCAAGUCGAGCGCCCCGCAAGGGGAGCGGCAGACGGGAGAGUAACACGUGGGAACGUGCCUUUUGGUUCGGAACAACACAGGGAAACUUGUGCUAAUACCGGAUAAGCCCUUACGGGGAAAGAUUUAUCGCCAAAAGAUCGGCCCGCGUCUGAUUAGCUAGUUGGUGGGGUAAUGGCCCACCAAGGCUACGAUCAGUAGCUGGUCUGAGAGGAUGAUCAGCCUCAUUGGGACUGAGACACGGCCCAAACUCCUACGGGAGGCAGCAGUGGGGAAUAUUGGACAAUGGGCGCAAGCCUGAUCCAGCCAUGCCGCGUGAGUGAUGAAGGCCUUAGGGUUGUAAAGCUCUUUCGACGGGGAAGAUAAUGACGGUACCCGUAGAAGAAGCCCCGGCUAACUUCGUGCCAGCAGCCGC